GCAAGCUGGAGGCCCAGGAAAGCCCACGGUGUAUACAGCUAUAGUCCAAGUCCAAAGGCCUGAGAACCAGGGGAGCCAGUGGUAUAAGUCCCAAUCCGAGAAUGAAGGUCCGAGAACCAGGAGUGCUGAUGUCUGAAUGCAGAAGAAGAUAAAUGUUCCAGCUCAAGCAGAGAGUGUAAUCACUCCCGCCAGAGAGAGCGGUCCAUAUGCCUUUCAGAAGCCAGCGAAUCGCAAGAGAGAACAUUUCCACCGAAUCUUGGUCAAAUACUUCCAAAGGCAAACGGCUUUCUGGAGAGUGUAUCAGGAGCUGCCUUGGCACAUGAAGAUGAGCGGCUGCUGGGAGGAUUUGUGCAGCUUUCCCUCAAGUCCUAGUGCUGAAAUGCAGACUUUCUGAGGUUACUGCCACUGACAAAUGCCGGAUUAAUGUUCUUUAUUGCGAGAUUUCUGAAGCUUCUGGGCAAGACCAAUGAAGCAGAAGAGUUAUUCUUGAGUGUUGAGAACAUGUUAGUGCAGGUAUACUGAGAAAUAAUUUUUUAAAUCCUUCAAACGUUAUUCAAUUUGUGUUAGGUAUUUUCAGAUAUCAUUUACC